rnacentral:rRNA from 1 species
UACGUAGGGGGCAAGCGUUGUCCGGAUUUAUUGGGCGUAAAGAGCGUGUAGGCGGCCAGACAGGUCAGCUGUGAAAACUCGGAGGCUCAACCUCGAGACGUCGGUUGAAACCGUCUGGCUAGAGUCCGGAAGAGGAGAGUGGAAUUCCCGGUGUAGCGGUGAAAUGCGCAGAUAUCGGGAAGAACACCCGUGGCGAAGGCGGAUCUCUGGGCCAUUACUGACGCUGAGGAGCGAAAGCGUGGGGAGCGAACAGG